CAAUUCUAUUUGCUGAUAUCCAAUCUUGUUUUCAACCGGUUCUACCGUUCCAAAAUGGCAUGCUCGAGCUAUAUAUAUACCGUUGUGUUUUGCAAUUUUAUUGAAACAGUCUAGUCGAUCGUUAUUAAGUUAUCAUAUACUACAAUGAAAUUAUGAUUAUUGUUCA